UGGGGAAUAUUGCACAAUGGGCGGAAGCCUGAUGCAGCGACGCCGCGUGAGGGAUGACUGCCUUCGGGUUGUAAACCUCUUUCAGUAGGGACGAAGCGUAAGUGACGGUACCUGCAGAAGAAGCACCGGCUAACUACGUGCCAGCAGCCGCGGUAAUACGUAGGGUGCGAGCGUUGUCCGGAAUUACUGGGCGUAAAGAGCUCGUAGGCGGUUUGUCACGUCGUCUGUGAAAUCCUAGGGCUUAACCCUAGACGUGCAGGCGAUACGGGCUGACUUGAGUACUACAGGGGAGACUGGAAUUUCUGGUGUAGCGAUGGAAUGCACAGAUAUCAGGAAGAACACCGAUGGCGAAGGCAGGUCUCUGGGUAGUAACUGACGCUGAGGAGCGAAAGCAUGGGUAGCGAACAGG
rnacentral:rRNA from 1 species